rnacentral:rRNA from 1 species
GUAGGGCGGGACACGUGGUAUCCUGUCUGAAUAUGGGGGGACCAUCCUCCAAGGCUAAAUACUCCUGACUGACCGAUAGUGAACCAGUACCGUGAGGGAAAGGCGAAAAGAACCCCGGCGAGGGGAGUGAAAAAGAACCUGAAACCGUGUACGUACAAGCAGUGGGAGCACAGAGCAAUCUGUGUGACUGCGUACCUUUUGUAUAAUGGGUCAGCGACUUAUAUUCUGUAGCAAGGUUAACCGAAUAGGGGAGCCGAAGGGAAACCGAGUCUUAACUGGGCGUUAAGUUGCAGGGUAUAGACCCGAAACCCGGUGAUCUAGCCAUGGGCAGGUUGAAGGUUGGGUAACACUAACUGGAGGACCGAACCGACUAAUGUUGAAAAAUUAGCGGAUGACUUGUGGCUGGGGGUGAAAGGCCAAUCAAACCGGGAGAUAGCUGGUUCUCCCCGAAAGCUAUUUAGGUAGCGCCUCGUGAAUUCAUCUCCGGGGGUAGAGCACUGUUUCGGCAAGGGGGUCAUCCCGACUUACCAACCCGAUGCAAACUGCGAAUACCGGAGAAUGUUAUCACGGGAGACACACGGCGGGUGCUAACGUCCGUCGUGAAGAGGGAAACAACCCAGACCGCCAGCUAAGGUCCCAAAGUCAUGGUUAAGUGGGAAACGAUGUGGGAAGGCCCAGACAGCCAGGAUGUUGGCUUAGAAGCAGCCAUCAUUUAAAGAAAGCGUAAUAGCUCACUGGUCGAGUCGGCCUGCGCGGAAGAUGUAACGGGGCUAAACCAUGCACCGAAGCUGCGGCAGCGACGCUUAUGCGUUGUUGGGUAGGGGAGCGUUCUGUAAGCCUGCGAAGGUGUGCUGUGAGGCAUGCUGGAGGUAUCAGAAGUGCGAAUGCUGACAUAAGUAACGAUAAAGCGGGUGAAAAGCCCGCUCGCCGGAAGACCAAGGGUUCCUGUCCAACGUUAAUCGGGGCAGGGUGAGUCGACCCCUAAGGCGAGGCCGAAAGGCGUAGUCGAUGGGAAACAGGUUAAUAUUCCUGUACUUGGUGUUACUGCGAAGGGGGGACGGAGAAGGCUAUGUUGGCCGGGCGACGGUUGUCCCGGUUUAAGCGUGUAGGCUGGUUUUCCAGGCAAAUCCGGAAAAUCAAGGCUGAGGCGUGAUGACGAGGCACUACGGUGCUGAAGCAACAAAUGCCCUGCUUCCAGGAAAAGCCUCUAAGCAUCAGGUAACAUCAAAUCGUACCCCAAACCGACACAGGUGGUCAGGUAGAGAAUACCAAGGCGCUUGAGAGAACUCGGGUGAAGGAACUAGGCAAAAUGGUGCCGUAACUUCGGGAGAAGGCACGCUGAUAUGUAGGUGAAGCGACUUGCUCGUGGAGCUGAAAUCAGUCGAAGAUACCAGCUGGCUGCAACUGUUUAUUAAAAACACAGCACUGUGCAAACACGAAAGUGGACGUAUACGGUGUGACGCCUGCCCGGUGCCGGAAGGUUAAUUGAUGGGGUCAGCGCAAGCGAAGCUCUUGAUCGAAGCCCCGGUAAACGGCGGCCGUAACUAUAACGGUCCUAAGGUAGCGAAAUUCCUUGUCGGGUAAGUUCCGACCUGCACGAAUGGCGUAAUGAUGGCCAGGCUGUCUCCACCCGAGACUCAGUGAAAUUGAACUCGCUGUGAAGAUGCAGUGUACCCGCGGCAAGACGGAAAGACCCCGUGAACCUUUACUAUAGCUUGACACUGAACAUUGAGCCUUGAUGUGUAGGAUAGGUGGGAGGCUUUGAAGUGUGGACGCCAGUCUGCAUGGAGCCGACCUUGAAAUACCACCCUUUAAUGUUUGAUGUUCUAACGUGGACCCGUAAUCCGGGUUGCGGACAGUGUCUGGUGGGUAGUUUGACUGGGGCGGUCUCCUCCUAAAGAGUAACGGAGGAGCACGAAGGUUGGCUAAUCCUGGUCGGACAUCAGGAGGUUAGUGCAAUGGCAUAAGCCAGCUUGACUGCGAGCGUGACGGCGCGAGCAGGUGCGAAAGCAGGUCAUAGUGAUCCGGUGGUUCUGAAUGGAAGGGCCAUCGCUCAACGGAUAAAAGGUACUCCGGGGAUAACAGGCUGAUACCGCCCAAGAGUUCAUAUCGACGGCGGUGUUUGGCACCUCGAUGUCGGCUCAUCACAUCCUGGGGCUGAAGUAGGUCCCAAGGGUAUGGCUGUUCGCCAUUUAAAGUGGUACGCGAGCUGGGUUUAGAACGUCGUGAGACAGUUCGGUCCCUAUCUGCCGUGGGCGCUGGAGAACUGAGGGGGGCUGCUCCUAGUACGAGAGGACCGGAGUGGACGCAUCACUGGUGUUCGGGUUGUCAUGCCAAUGGCACUGCCCGGUAGCUAAAUGCGGAAGAGAUAAGUGCUGAAAGCAUCUAAGCACGAAACUUGCCCCGAGAUGAGUUCUCCCUGACUCCUUGAGAGUCCUGAAGGAACGUUGAAGACGACGACGUUGAUAGGCCGGGUGUGUAAGCGCAGCGAUGCGUUGAGCUAACCGGUACUAAUGAACCGUGAGGCUUAACCUU